rnacentral:misc_RNA from 1 species
AACGCAUAUUGCACUCUUUGGUAUUCCGAGGAGUAUGCUUGUUUCAGUAUCAUGAAAAUCUCACCAAUGAAACAUUUUUUUUUUGUUUCAAACCGUGGAAUUGGAUUUGCGACGUCAUUGUUGCUUAUCUCAAAUAGAUUUCAUGAAGCUUAAUAUGCUUUGAAUCUUUGCUUAAUAGUUUUGCUCUGUCAAAUCUUUUGCAAAUGACGUCACUAGCCAGAAAGUGGAUUGAUUUUACGAAAAUCAUAAUAUCUCAUUUUUUGAUCUGAAAUCAAGUAGGAUUACCCGCUGAACUUAA